rnacentral:rRNA from 1 species
UACGUAGGGGGCUAGCGUUGUCCGGAAUCAUUGGGCGUAAAGCGCGUGUAGGCGGCCCGGUAAGUCCGCUGUGAAAGUCGGGGGCUCAACCCUCGAAAGCCGGUGGAUACUGUCGGGCUAGAGUGCGGGAGAGGCGAGUGGAAUUCCUGGUGUAGCGGUGAAAUGCGCAGAUAUCAGGAGGAACACCAAUAGCGAAGGCAGCUCGCUGGGACGGUACUGACGCUAAGGCGCGAAAGCGUGGGGAGCGAACAGG